rnacentral:tRNA from 1 species
AAAAAGAUAAGCUAAAAUGAAGCUAGUGGGUUCAUACCCCGUUAAUAGAAGAAGACUUCUUCUUUUUA